rnacentral:rRNA from 1 species
UACAGAGGUGGCAAGCGUUGUUCGGAAUUACUGGGCGUAAAGGGCGCGUAGGCGGCCUUCUAAGUCAGACGUGAAAUCCCCCGGCUUAACCUGGGAACUGCGUCUGAUACUGGAGGGCUUGAGUGCGGGAGAGGGAUGUGGAAUUCCAGGUGUAGCGGUGAAAUUCGUAGAUAUUCGGAAGAACACCAGUGGCGAAGGCGACACACUGGCUCACUACUGACGCUGAGGCGCGAAAGCGUGGGGAGCAAACAGG